rnacentral:rRNA from 1 species
CGUAGGGUGCGAGCGUUAAUCGGAAUUACUGGGCGUAAAGUGUGCGCAGGCGGCUGAGCAAGUCGAGUGUGAAAUCCCCGGGCUUAACUUGGGAAUUGCGCUCGAAACUACUUGGCUCGAGUGUGGCAGAGGAAGGUGGAAUUCCACGUGUAGCGGUGAAAUGCGUAGAGAUGUGGAGGAACACCGAUGGCGAAGGCAGCCUUCUGGGCCAACACUGACGCUCAUGCACGAAAGCGUGGGGAGCAAACAGGAUUAGAUACCCUGGUAGUCCACGCCCUAAACGAUGAUGACUAGUUGUUGGAGGAGUUAAAUCCUUUAGUAACGCAGCUAACGCGUGAAGUCAUCCGCCUGGGGAGUACGGUCGCAAGAUUA